rnacentral:rRNA from 1 species
AAUCAACGCUGGCGGCGCGCUUAACACAUGCAAGUCGCACGAGAAAGUGGAGCAAUCCAUGAGUACAGUGGCGUACGGGUGAGUAACACGUGGAUCAUCUACCUUUUAGUGGGGAAUACCUCUGGGAAACCGGAGACAAUACCGCAUAAGCUCGUAAGAGGAAAGCCGAAAGGCGCUGAAAGAGGAGUCCGCGGCUGAUUAGCUAGUUGGUUAGGUAAUGGCCCACCAAGGCGAAGAUCGGUAGCCGGCCUGAGAGGGCACACGGCCACA